GAUGGACAUUCUCACUUUUGGGUGAAACCUCUCCGUUCUUUGAGUGCUGAAGGAACAACAGACACAGGUCCCACCCAAGCCUCUCACACAGAGGAACGAGCAAAAAUUUUACCCAGCGAACGCAGCAGAGAUUUGUCCCAAAGUGGCAGCCCCCAGCCAGGGUGGGAAAGCUGUAGCACCAGUUGAGGGGCGCUCUCGAGGAACGUUUCCAGGAGGCGCAGCAUGUUUACAUCUGCAUAUUCGUACAUCAUAGCCCAGUAGAAACGCCGCUGGUGUUCCUUCCGCCUCUGGCUCUGGAUCCCCAGGUGGAGCAACGAGACACCACCUUCACAUGCAGCACAUGUGUGAUCCACAGGUGUGAAAGGCCACAGUUUGUCACUGGUCAGCUUUGAGACUUUGGGCAAUGUUGGAGUACAAGGAGGUGUCUCAUGCACGGGCAGGCACAGCUCUACCAUUGCCUCUGUCUCAGGAUUCAUGGCAUUUAAGAAAAAAACCCUAUCAGAGUCCUUUCUAAUGCCUGUUGAUAUCACAGAAUCCCAGAAUGGUUUGGGUUGGAAAAUCAUCUUGUUCCAACCCCCUGCCAUGGGUAGGGGCACCUUCCACUAUUCCAGGUUGCUCCAAGCCCUGUCCAGCCCGGCCUUGGACACUUCUAAGGAUCAACAAUCUAUCAUUGGGUCUUCUUCCUUCUCUUCCUGAGCGGUGGCUGUAACCUCGUUCGGGAUGGGAACCGUUUCACCUAAUGCCGACCCUGAAGCAGUCUGAGCCAGUCAAUAGUCGGAAAUGUCCCCUCCCGGGACUGUUCAUCUGUCCCAGCUCCGCUGCCAGCACGGCAGCGGGAUGAAGCGCCUUCUGGAGGCUCUGGGAGGGGCUCACGGCACAAGCUGGGGUUUGGCCAAAACGAUUAGAUCAUCCCCUGCCACUCGGGCGAGACUGCACAGGCGGGGAGAGCGGGAGGGAAGGACGUGAGCCUGGACAGCCGCCGGAUCUCCGAAUUACACCCAGGCACGGGGAGCUGGGAGAGAAGCAGAGGCAGCUCUGCGAACCCUGUCCUUUAUCCAGCAUCUCGUCCUUCCUGCCCGCUCGCAGCUGGCUGGCACAGGAGGCGAAAAAUCCCGAAAGAGGACUGCAAGGACACACAAAAAAUAACGCAGGAAAGCCACCAGAUGGGGCUCGACACUCGAGAAAAUGCUACGCCAGUCAUACGACUCUGGUGACACUGAUGUGACAUCCACAGCAGACCCCGAGUGGGACGGAAAUGGCCGUGGAGCACCUGCUCUCACAACACGCCCAAAUCCACCACCUGCACUUGGCAUUUCCAUGGAAGACCCCAACCCCGGGAGCUGCAGCGUGACACAGGCAUCCUGCCUUCCUUUCACCCAGGAAUUAAA